rnacentral:rRNA from 1 species
GACGAACGCUGGCGGCGUGCCUAAUACAUGCAAGUCGAGCGAACCUUUAAAAGCUUGCUUUUAAAGGUUAGCGGCGGACGGGUGAGUAACACGUGGGCAACCUGCCUGUAAGACUGGGAUAACUUCGGGAAACCGGAGCUAAUACCGGAUAAUUCUUUUCUACACAUGUAGGAAAGCUGAAAGACGAUUUCGGCUGUCACUUACAGAUGGGCCCGCGGCGCAUUAGCUAGUUGGUGAGGUAAUGGCUCACCAAGGCAACGAUGCGUAGCCGACCUGAGAGGGUGAUCGGCCACACUGGGACUGGGACACGGCCCAGACUCCUACGGGAGGCAGCAGUAGGGAAUCUUCCGCAAUGGACGAAAGUCUGACGGAGCAACGCCGCGUGAGUGAUGAAGGUUUUCGGAUCGUAAAACUCUGUUGUUAGGGAAGAACAAGUACGAGAGUAACUGCUCGUACCUUGACGGUACCUAACCAGAAAGCCACGGCUAGCUACGUGCCAGCCGCCGCCGUAA